UACGGAGGGUGCGAGCGUUGUCCGGAAUCACUGGGCGUAAAGGGCGCGUAGGUGGCGCGGGCAGUCAACGGUGAAAGUUCGGGGCUCAACCCUGGAUCGGCCGUCGAUACUCCCGUGCUGGAGCACUGUAGAGGCUAAUGGAAUUCCGGGUGUAGCGGUGGAAUGCGUAGAGAUCCGGAAGAACACCGGUGGCGAAGGCGGUUAGCUGGGCAGUUGCUGACACUGAGGCGCGACAGCGUGGGGAGCAAACAGG
rnacentral:rRNA from 1 species